rnacentral:lncRNA from 1 species
AUGUAGCAUGCUAUUCUCUGAUCCAGAACUAUGACUUCAGCACAUUGUAGAUCCCCACUCCGGCUCCCAGCAGUCACCCAUGACCUCUCCUAACUGUAUCCGUCCUAAGGUUGUCUUGUCACUUGAGUGGACACAGGUAUAUACAUUGGUGGAAGCAGUAUUUUAUGUUCAAGGCCUUCUUGAGGCUGGGGAGAUGGCUCAGCAAUUUACAGCACUGGAUGCUCUCCAGAGGACCCAUGCUCAAUUCCUAGCACCCAUAAGGCAAUUCAUAUCUAUCUGUAACUUCAGUUCCACGGUACGUGAUGCUGCCUUCUGACCUACAUGGCUACCAAACAUGCACAGGAUGAACAGACAUACAUACAGCUGGAGGACAGGCAUGCCUGGGAGCAGCUGUUGGGAUUAUGGGGAAGGAAGCACAGUACCACCUACAGAAUAAGAGAAGAGACACCCGAUGGCUUCAGUAGGAGUUAUAAAUGUGAUGUGCCUGAUAGUAUUGAAGAAAUCGUGGGUUCUGAUGGUUUCUGCUUAGAAGAAAAAGCAUCCUCAGACUAGCAAAGAAGCAACUGUUUAGGUUGGUCAGAGGAACCUACGAAACCCAGCCUAAAGCUCCGGCUAAAACCUUAAAGGUUUAUGUCCCCAGGGAACAUGCUAUGUGUCUUUCACAACCAGUCCAGUCAUCUGCACAUUGCAAACCUGCAGACGUUCCCUCAGCACCCUGAGGUUUGCAACUUAGACUCCGGACAGCAUCUGCUGUCAUCAAUACACCAGAACCAGGUUAUCAACACAGAAAAAGUAGUGUAUUUCCUGCUUCAUAACUUUUCAAAGUGAACAUUUAAUAAAAAAAAAUCAGACAUUAAUAAUCUUCAUUGUAAAUUGAGAAACAAGGUUACCCUAAAUGUUUAAAUAACAUUUUAUUAAUUUCUCAUAUUUUAAAUUCCUAACUCUCUGUGGGGCCAGAGACCCAGCCUAAGGUCCUGCACAUGCUUGACAACUGCUCUACCAGUGGCUCACAUCCGGACCUAGUCCAGCCUUUUGUACUGGUACCAGGUUGCACUGAGUUGCCCAGGCUGGCCUAGAACUCCCACCACAGAAUGGGCUGACUUGGAAAUUAUAAUCCUGCUUCCAUCACUGAGACUGCACACAAAUACCACCAGGCCCUGCCAAAUUCUUAUUUGUGCUUUCAAAAUUUUGAGCAUGAAAAUGACAGGUUAUAUCUAGUUACUAUUUUUCAUCUCUUAUUUUCAUUUUGAAGUACCAGGAUUUGGCAUCAUUCUGCACUGAUACAUAUUUCCCUGUCUCUUUUAACCAGAGCUGAGAGAAUAUUCAUGCUCUGUGAUGGAUGCAAUAAUGAAAUUUUGUAUUUAUGCUGAGUCAUAGUACAGUAUCUUAAAACCAAGCCAAGAAAAUGUACUAUGGGAGUGCAUGGGAGGAAGGAACAAAGAGAUAGUGCUAUGCACUGAUAGCUUUUCUGAGAAAGCUUUGCUUCUAAGCCCCCCUGUGGGGAGGGGUAGAGAGCUGCUCUUUGAAGCAGCCAUUAGGAGGUGCUCAUAGUUUAGGACAAACUCUCCAAGGCCUCCCAGCUCCUUGUGGUCUAGUUUUUAUGUCCUGUAAGGGUUUAUUUUUAAUUUUAGAAAUUUCAUUUCGCUUGAGUUUUCCACUUAUAAAAAAAUUGAGAAGCUGACAGCUCUGGAAACUGAAGCUAUCCAAUUAGUCCAAAAACACCUAAAUGUUUCGGUGGCAUCUAUCAUCAC